rnacentral:rRNA from 1 species
AUGGUGGACACACCAGAAGAUGACGACGAGGAGCGGAAGGACGCACCGAAGGCUUGUUCCCUCGAAAAGCAGUCAAAACGGCGACGCAAGCGCCGCCCCAAAUCCCGCCUCGACAGAAAUAGCGAUCACACAGACCCAGCGCUGGAGCAGGGCAAACCGCUGCCGGACAACGGCAAUCCGGCUAAUCAAACCGAACAAACAAAUCCUACCAAGGAUAAUGGUCUGGACGACAUAACGCCGGACAGGCACCCGGAGCAGCAGAACGCCCGUAAAAGGCUUGUUGCCACCGCAAGGAGCCUUAAAAAGCAGAAGCGAAGGCUGAAGGCCGCGCAAGACACACUCCAAUUCAGAUGGAGCAAAAUACUCAACACUGCAGCAAGGAACGGCGACAAUCGCCCCUCCAAGAGCUACCCAAAGCGGAAGCUGCUACCCGAAUUCGAUGAGGAGGCCUCAGACCCCCCACAACCAAUCAAAGCAGCCACCUGA